GGCAGAAAUUAUUUUUAUUAGAAAAAUGAGAUUUUCCUGUAUUUACAUUUUUACACCAUUGGACUGGGCACUUUUGUUGCCUUGGGAGUUAUGUACAUAUCAGUUUGCACACACAUUUCAAACCCCAUUCCUUAAAACAGUUGAUAACACGUUGAACGAAAAGAAAAGACAUACUACAAGAAGACGACCAUAGUAUAUACUUCCUCUAUCAUAGAAAGGUGUUAAGCAAACGUGUAAUUUUGUAGCUAUGCUUGGAAAUAUUGAAUACAGUUAUCAGCACUUCCUCAUGCAGUGGAUUAAAACAUGACAGGUAUAAACUGCCGUGAUUGGUAAGUGAAUGUCUAUUCCCAAAUGAGAACCACCGAGUAGAGCAUACAGCUUGCAUGGGGCUCCACCAUACAAGAGAUCAAGCCAGUUCUGACGUGGGUUUUGGACUGUGUUUGAGUGUCACUGUGAAUGGGAACCCUCUGCAUAUGGAGUUUGAUCCUGCCCAUGUUGGGUUAAGGAUGGACUCGGACAUGGGUCUUCAAAGCUGCUUUUAUCCAUGACUUCCUGUGGGCAAUGACCAGCUUGUGUAUUAUGUACGCAACAGGUCUCAUAACGUGACUCAAGGAUAUGAAGGGUUUACCCUCUUUUUUUUCUGUCUGAGAAGGCCACUGUUUGUGACUUAUCUGUUUCUUAUUCAAACCACCAGUGAGACUCACCUAAUUCUUUCUGAAUAUUCAGCUUGAAAUAUAUAUACUAUACAUAGACACAUACGCACAAACAUUCUAUUGUGAUCAACUACAAACUUCAGGCUUGGAAGGCAUCUGAGCCACAGCUGGCCACAUAAUUAGUGGUAUCGAGUAGUUUCCUGACUUUUCUAUGAAAAUGUUAUCCUUGACCUUAUCUCUGACUUGGGGGAAAAAUAGGCAAUUGGCCUCCUUUCCUAGUGAAAAACAUGGGGAACGUGAAUGUUACAAGUGCCCCUUUCAUCUUUGCAAAUCCACUAGAAUUUUCAAAGAUGAUCACCUGAAUUUGACCCAAAAUAGUCUGAAUCUUCAAUUUCUCAACUGGAGCAUUUCCUUAGCGGCCAUGGCUUCAGAGCUGUGUCUACAAACCUAAUAAACUUAAGAGUUUUUUUUUUUUUAAAUAAAAUGGGUUUUAAAAAGUCAAUACUGCUCAUUUAUUUGAGUUAGCUAAACUGAGAAUAGAAAUAAUUCAAUAGGUCUUAGAUGUAAUGUAAUGUUAAAACCUCAGUUGAAUUCGAAAGGCUAUGAUUAUUUUUCAUGGAGAAAACUGACAAUGUUUUUAUAUUUCUGGACCUUCACUAUUUGCUCAGCUAUCAAUAGUCUUUGAUUUGAGCCCUUUAAAAGCUUAAAACAGCAAAAUGUCAGAUCAAUGAGAAGCAUUUAAAAUGGCAAAGACAAACUUAUGUUUGCUGGAGAACAAUUAACCUUAUUAAUUUAAAAGGCAGCUGUGGUAUUGGCUACGUGUUACGUUAAUAUUCUUUUGAAGGCUCAUCUUAAAUCCUUCCCAAAGGUGUGGGAGAGAAUUAACUGGAGGAGGUUAUGACCCAGGGCUAUGGCUAAUGAGGAAUGUUCUAGACUUGCAGAGAUGCAAACUUAUCGUUUCAUGGACCUGGUACCUAAGAAGGAUAUAUGAGUGAUAAUUUCAGUUUCGUUUUGUUUGUCUCUGCAUACUGCUGACACCUUACUUGAGGAAGUUAAUCUGAGAAACGAGUCCAUUGGAAACAGUUUGGUUCUGGCUCCCUGGAGAGCUAUGUGCUUUGAAAUCCAGCCCCAGAGAAGAAAGCCUACUGGCCAGAUGGUUCUUUUGAGUGGUCCAGUUUCUCCACAGCUCAACAGCCCUGGGAGGAUGUUCUCGUUCACUUGCAGACCCAAUGAUGGGAUCUCAAAAUAGGUAUCAAAUAAUGAUAACUAUUUUUUGGCUUAUGAGACUUUUUACUGCCAGCUUGAAAGAUGUCAACAGCUAAAGAAUUUCUCGGGGACAAUGACAACGGUGCUUGGUUAGAUUAACUGACCCUCCAGAAGGACUGGAUCACAGAACCUCCCAGAAAAACAUCCCUUCGAGUCCCAGUUCAGUUUCCUCACCUAUGAAAUGGACCUAAUGUGGCCCCAGUUCACAGAAAACAGAAAUGCCUGGCAGGAGGAGUGUGGCUUAGGACACAUGAGCAGUGCAAGAAAGGCAUGCACAGGCUCAGUGUCGCUGCCUCCCCAACGCAUAACGCAUGCCACCAUUUUGGACUCGUAGAAAGCCUAAUGGAAACAUUCCAAUUUAGUGCUCUUGAGUGAGGCAAACUGAAUGAGCACUCAGUGGUUCAGCAGUUAUCUUGGUGCCAGUGAUGACCUAGCAGGGACGGUCACUUGCAAAUACCAUGACCUUUCUGAAAAUGGGCCACACUGUUUAGGAGAGCUUUGAUUGGGGGGGGGGGUAGCAGAGGGAAGUGUGUGUGCCCACACACAUGGGAGGGUCUACUACUUUGCAAAUGUUUAAUGGAAUUAACCCUGAUAUCUACUGAGAAAAAGAAGAGAGAUUUGGAAGGGGAUAGUUAAAAUUAGGCACAUGCUAAGUAGACAAAAUAACUCCCCAGGAACCAAACAAGUGAAUGCAGAGUGCAAGCAGAUGGGGAGAGACACAAACGGCAUUCAAGUGUCAGAAGGGAUGGGAACAGAGGUGAGAUCCCCUGGAGUUCUCGAUACACCCCAAACCAGACGACGAGGGGUGGGACACUAACAAACCUCCUCUCAACAGAGGCUGAAGCGCAAGAGAGAGCCCAGGGGACCUCAAAACAGCCUACCUCUCUUUCCAACUUUUAUUCUGACCUCCCUGGGGGAGGUCAGGCACUUUGAGAAUUCACCCAAUGUUAGGGAUUUAUUAGCAAACUCCUGCUGCUGAUGAGGCUGAGACCAACCUGAGCCUCAGUUUCCUUAUCUAUAAAAUAGGAGCAACUGUACUUCUAUCCUAUGGUUAUUUGGAGGAUUUCAGUCUAGGAUAUGCCUGGAAUCAGUCUACACUCAAUGUGGAUGCAUCUUGAUACUUCCAAACUCAUGUGCUGACCCAAGGCAUAUACGUGGGAUAAGCAGAGUAUCUCACAUUCUGGCAAGGCACGGGAUAGGACGGACAGAGAAAAGAAGCUCCCUCUGCACCUUGCCAUUUUCCCGAAACACAUCUUGACUCCUUUCACCAUCUCUAUGCCCCAUUUUGUCUCUAGGGAACCUGAUACGCUCUCUUUUGUCAGCCAGACAGUAGGCACUUGGGACUCAAAGAGGAUUUCCCCCCACUCCCUUCCCUGAUACAUUUAUACCCUGAACAAUCAAAGGUAUUCUUCAUAAGACAAAAAUAAAAAUCAAACAAAAAAGCUUUCAGGAAAUAGGCUUUUUACAUCGCGGUCUGUUUUCUAAUCCCUUGGAGGAUUUCUUUCAACCUCUUCUUGAAGCCCAUGCCAUAAUGCAGGGCUGGAAGGAGGCAGGAUCUGGCAAGGGCUGGAGAACCCAGUGGAACCACAAAUGCAGAAGGGCAAGUCUGGUCACCUGUUUGGAUGCUCCUGGGUUUCCCAGAUACUGUCUUUGAAUAAUCAAGGUUCAAGAACCAAGGAUAUCUCUCCAGGAGCACCAACUAUAUUCUCCAGAGUUAUGUACGGCUUUAGGGAAGGAUGGGUUGUUGGAUUGUUUGGUCAUGGAACCAGAUUUUCAUUUCCUGGUAAGAACUUGAUUUCUCAUUUCUAGUUUUUACACACAGUCUGUGUUUGUGUUUCAAGGACCCUUAGUUGUCUUUAGUGUUAGGGAGCACAAUUUCUAGACCGUAAGCUGCUUAUGGGAAGAGACUAUAUUUUCUGUCCCCUUUGCAUCUCCCAACCUCAAAUUGGCCUUAAAAGGAGAGUAGAUACUCAGUCAAGUGCUAUCAGCUGAUCAGUGUCCUUUGUUCAUCCUUGGCUCGAGAGAACUAGAACUCUAUUAUCUCAAUGAUCACCACCAGCUUUCAUCUUUGGUUUGAGGUUUUAAACUAUAUCCCUUGUUGGCUCUUCCCAGGGAAUUAGGUCCCUGAGAAAAGUUUUCUCUUCUCCAGGAUUCUGAGGCAGGGAGUACUGGGGAGCUUAAGAGAAAACCAAAUCCAAAGGGGGAUGUAUGGGUCUGUAUAAGGCAAGAGGCAAAGAAAGCAGGGGCAAUUCUACGAUGUUCUCUGGCUCUUAUCCCAGAGGUACCUGGAGAGCACUUUUGAGAGAAACCUAGAACUGAGUCAGCCUGGCAAAGGGAACCAGGCGAGGAAUUAAUUGGAUCAUGCAUGAAGGUCUUGGUUUCUAGACCUGGCUCUGAUAUUGUCAAUCCAACGAUCCCAUAGCGAUUCUGUCCCUUUGGGAGCCCAAUCUCCUAGUUUUCUCAUCUCCCUUCCCCCAGAUCUUGGUGUAGUUCUGUAAGUUCUAUUUUUCUAAGACCCUUCUGGACAGGCACCUUUAGCUGAUGCCAUAUCGAGAGUACUUCCAGGCACAGAACAAGUGGGCAUGGAGAAGAGGAUAAGGAAUUGAAACAGAGACUGUGCCCUUUGGUGGGUUUACAGAAAUCACCCACGUGUCCAUAUCAGCAUUGUCUUCAGAAGUUAAUGUGAGCAGAACAUGGGCCACACCCUUAACCCCAGAUGUCUUUUUUUGAAAAGAGGCCAAGAACACCAGCACCCAAAUCCCACUUGGGCCCUGCCAUUCUCCCUCCCUAGAACUGAGAUUAUUAUUUAAAAACAAAAACAAAACAAAAAGAAAAAAGAAAAAAAAAA
rnacentral:lncRNA from 1 species